GUGAAUCAUCGAAUCUUUGAACGCACCUUGCGCUCCUUGGUAUUCCGAGGAGCAUGCCUGUUUGAGUGUCAUUAAAUUCUCAACCCCUCCAGCUUUUGCGAGUUGUGAUGGGGCUUGGAUAUGGGGGCUUGCGGGUCUUUACUGAUGUAAAGGUCAGCUCUCCUGAAAUACAUUAGCGGAACCGUUUGCAGUCCCGUCACUAGUGUGAUAAUUAUCUACACUGUGAUGGAUUGCUCUCUGACUAGUUCAGCUGCUAAUCGUCCGUUAUGGACAAUGUUUAAUGAACUUCUUGACCUCAAA
rnacentral:misc_RNA from 1 species